CCGGCGCACGGGUGAGUAACACGUAUCCAACCUGCCGUCUACUCUUGGCCAGCCUUCUGAAGGAAGAUUAAUCCAGGAUGGGAUCAUGAGUUCACAUGUCCGCAUGAUUAAAGGUAUUUUCCGGUAGACGAUGGGGAUGCGUACCAUUAGAUAGUAGGCGGGGUAACGGCCCACCUAGUCAACGAUGGAUAGGGGUUCUGAGAGGAAGGUCCCCCACAUUGGAACUGAGACACGGUCCAA
rnacentral:rRNA from 1 species